CGCCUCCGGUCGAGCUCGACACUCAACGCGGCGUCAGGCUCACGUGGGAGUCCUUGUUUCUACGUCUGUCCACCAGGAACGCCACCCGCCCCGCUGGAGACCCCGCGUCCUAAGGAGCGGGGCCGGAGACCCUGUGUGUCGUUUGCUCGAGAGUUUCUGAGGUCCCCCAGCGGGAUGGACACACCCUUUUAUGCCAUAUCCUCUCUUCUGGCAGCCAUGCCAAGUCAGCUUGGGCUGCAUUCUCCAAAAGCAUCUCUUCCUCAUUACCAGGAUUGGACUCCAGCUUCCUAAGCCUCAGUUCUACCCAGUGUUCAAGAGGGAGACCAAGGAAGACGGCAGAGCAGGAAGCCCAGGAACCUGUCCCUCCUCUGGACAACAGUUGAACUAAAACAAACAGUCUUCAACCAACCAAGAAUCAAAUACAGCAUUUAGGAAAAAAAUGUACUGAACAUGAACACACUUUUUUUCUUGUCAUCAUUCCCUAAACAAUACAGAAUAACAAUUUACAUAGCUUGGACAUUGUAUUAGUUAUGAUAAGU